GCGAGGCCCACAGGUGAUGAGCGGCGACACACGUGUCCAAGACCGCGAGGCAGGAAGGACAGGCCUGUUCGGGUACACGGGCCCGUGCUCCUGGACCUCCCGAUUUCCACCCCGUGGGACCCUUCUCAGUGUUCCCAUCAUUUCUGCUGAGCUGCCAGCUAUGGUGAUACCCAUCUCAGCCGGGUCCCUGCCCCACAGGUUUCCUGGCACAAAGUGCAAUUACACACUCACUGGGGGUGAGUCCUGUGGAGGGGGCUGCAGGGUGUGGUGCGGAUGUGGAGGGACCGCGGCCAGCCUGCCUUGUGCACAUGCUGUUCCAUCUGGGACGCACUCCUCUUUCUCAUCAGAGAACGUCCACCGUCCUGUAAGACCAUCUCUGGUCCCGCUACACGGGCUCCCCACACUGCCAAGGUGAACUUCGCAGCUGCCAGCCCUUGGGCUGUGCGCUACUCAAGGGCAGGGAACCCAGCACUGGGCACCAGGAGGGACAGGGAGGGUUUGCUGACAGAGCGACCGGCUUUGACCAAGAGAAAGCAGAGUCCCUGUGGACUCGGGAGGGUUGAGGCACUGCCACCUGGCCACACGGAGGGGUUUCCGACCAGCUGGGUCUGCAGUCCCCUCCAUGACACAGAAUGUGGCCGGGAGUCCUCCUCGGCUCUAAUCUCAGCCCUCAGCGGGGCCCAGGGAUGGGGAAGGCACUGUUGGGCCUGACCUAGGAGCUGUUCCUGUCACCUGUGGGCCCAGGCCUCCCUGCCCAGCUCCGUCCCAGCGGGGAAUACUGGUGUCCAUUUGGUGCUCCAGCUCCUUUGAGGAAGGGAAGCCAUCUCUAGGCUCCCUGGAACUUCUACAACUCUACUGCGGGGCCCAGGGUGGGUGCUGCCCCUCGUUCUGAAACCAGCAUCUCCCUCCUUCCUCAACCUCUGCAAGACAAGCUACGGUUGUGCCCAUCUCCUGUUAGCAGAAUUAGCAGGACCUAUACCACCUGCCCUGAGCAGCGUCUAGUAACGUGGAACAUCAGCACAGCAGGAGGAGACCGGAACUUUCCGUUUUUCUGAAAAGCUCUCACUCCUCGGGAAAGCUCUUAAAAGCAGAGCCUGGAUGUGACUUGUCUCUGCUCCCCAGUGCCUGGCACCCCAGCUUCUGGCCCUGAACAGGUUUCAGUGAUGGAAUCAUCGGGCUGGAAGUCAUCUAGGAGAAGAACGGGCCAUGUGCCUCAGACAGAACAAACCCUGGGCCCUAUCCUGGAGCCUUCACUACUCCUAGGGCUGACUGGAGGCCCAGGUAGAGUCCAGGGUGACCUAGAUGGCAGGGCCAGGAGGAGUGGCCAGGCCUCCAGAUGCUCUAGUUCUGCAGGAGAUGACACUGUAUGGCAACAGUGAUGUGAAGAAGGGCAUGGUGACCUUUUACUGAGAGCCUGCUGAGUCCUGGUACGGUCCCUGUUCCUCACACACCUCCCCGCACUGAAGUUAUGAAUGUCUCGUGCAUAUGUGCGAGGUGAGUUGAGACACCGUGUCUCCAGCUGGAGGCUGAGACUGGUUUGGUCUGGCAAGGAAGAGCCUGCCCUUGUCAGGUUAAGGCAUCAAUUCUUAACCUUCACCUUCUUCAUCAGGAAGCUUCAGAAAAAUAUGGAUGUCUGGUCCCCGCCCACCCCAUUCAAUAGUAUGCGGCCCAGUGUAGGCACCAGAUUUCUAAAACCUCCCCAGGAUAUUUUAAUGUCUAGCAAAGUUUGAGAACCUGUCUUAUGACUAAUGCUGUUGUUGUUUUGCCUUUUUGUUCUUAUUCCCAAAGUGUCCAGAUCUGUGCUCAGAGCUCAAAGAAAUUUACUGAAAAAAUAAAAUUAAAUUAAGGAAUGACAGUUCAAAGAGCCAGGAACUUAUGCAAAUGAAUGCAAAUAAAUACACACUUCCAUACAUAUGUUUAUGCAAAUAUUCUCGUGGUCCUUGCAAAUCACUCACCCGCCUGCAAGCAGCUGCCUUCAGUUUCUUGGUGAGAACCCCGGGCAGGGUGCCCAGGUUAAUGACAGGUGGUAUCACGACCUCCCAGAAAGACAUCUCUAUUAGCAAACUCACCCCAGAAGUCCUCCAGGGCCCUGCUCACUGAGCCCAGCUCUGCGCAUCAAAAGCCCUUCCCUACUCGCUCAGGCCUCAGGGCUCACUCAAAGCCACAGACCUGGGAGGGAACAGCUGCCUGGUGGGCACUUCAAGGCCACCAGGGCUGUGGGCAGAGAGAGUGGGGGCCUGGCAACUGCCAGGGGCCUGAUAGCCGGACAGUUUUGAUCAAAAAGGCACAGAUGGGCUGCCUUUAGUUGUGUGCUAGUCUGGGUGGGCUGGCAUGUGGCUGGGCAUUCAACCCUGCUUAGGGUGUCCCAGGUGUGUGUCUGCCUGACCAGGUGCUGCAGCUGAUUUAUAUAAAUCCAGUGGCAGAUACUGGACUUCAGAACAAAACUUGCCUCAUCAAGAUGAGAGAUUGGCACCCCCCACCCGCACUCCCUUGUGGAUGCUAACUGGCUCUAGCACUAGUCUGCCACCCCUUCUCUCAGGCCACAUCAGUCGCGACCUCAGACCUUCAGGAUGCCCUCGCACUGCUGCCUCCAGGAGGAGCCAGCUCUGCCACCUGCCGGCCCCUGGCUCUGCUCCCUGAGAGGGCCUCAGAGGAACGGAGCCUCACUGCUUCCUUCCGCAGGCUCAGCCCUCCCAGGGGCUCCCUCCUGGGGCUGGACAAACUCUCUCAGUGCUGCCUGGGGCAGGGCGAGUUCCCUGGGGUGGGGUGAGGGGGGCUGGAAGGUGACCCCUCAUCCACCUGUGAACCAAGCUCUGGCAUUUUGGGAUCCUAGCUCAAGCCUGCCUUGGGUGGCCCUGGAAAGGUCACACAGAAUUUCUUAUUUCUCUAGUCGCUGCACCCAAGAGGUGGUGGCCAUAACUAUUGGGAAGCUUUGGGGAACUGGAAUGUGAGCUCCGUGAGGGCAGUUCUGUUUGUUACGCAUGGCUGCACUUUUGUUGGCUGACCUACUAAUGAGCAUUUCUUCCACAGCGCCCUGUCUCCCCUCCACCUCACUCUCUUCGCCAGUUGUCCUUGUGAUUUCAUGUACAACUUGUGGGGGGAAGGUGUGGCCUGUCCCCUGCAAGGUGCUCACCUCUGGGAGGGCAGCAGUAGUCAGUGUCCCCCACGGACCCA